UCUCUUAAUUUUGCAAUCUAUGACAACUGUGGUUUCACAUGAAGUUUCUAUUGUUAGAAUGCUUGUUAUGUUCUGAUGGUUACUUGAGGAGGUGUUGAAUAUGUGUCCCUGCCUCCAUAUGUCCUUCUGCUGUCUUGCCCAUCUCCUUGACUCCACUUCAGUAAUAAAGUUGUCUGUGACUGCAGCAUCACUGCAUAAGCUCAGGUUUGAAAUUGACCAAAAAUUAAAGAAGAACCUUGGUGCUUGAGACUCAACGUUGCUUCAGAAAUAAAUGUGAGAAAAGACUGAUACCAUGAAGCAGCAUGCAUCAGAGGACUGGGACAUCCUUCACCAUAACAGGUGGAGGAUCAAGAAACAAGUCGUGGCCCACUUUGAGAUGCAGAUUCAUUUUAUUCUACUGAACAAACGACAUGCAUAGGGAGACA